GUCCAGCAACGAGCGCAACCCCUGUCUUCAGUUGCCAUCAGGUUAUGCUGGGGACUCUGGAGAGACUGCCGGUGACAAACCGGAGGAAGGUGGGGACGACGUCAAGUCAUCAUGGCCCUUACGCUCAGGGCUACACACGUGCUACAAUGGUCGGUACAAAGGGCUGCGAGACUGUGAAGUGGAGCGAAUCCCAAAAAGCCGGCCUCAGUUCGGAUCGUAGUCUGCAACUCGACUACGUGAAGUUGGAAUCGCUAGUAAUCGCGUAUCAGAACGACGCGGUGAAUACGUUCCCGGGCCUUGUACACACCGCCCGUCAAGUCACCCGAGUUGGCUGCACCCCAAGUCGCUGAGCUAACCCGUAAGGGAGGCAGGUGCCCAAGGUGUGGUUGAUAAGGGGGACUAAGUCGUAACAAGGUAACCAAGGGCGAUUCCAGCACACUGCGCCGUACUAGUGAUCCGGCGCGUACCGG
rnacentral:rRNA from 1 species